AACAAGCAUACAAAGGAAAUUCGUCUCAGCACAUAAACUGGCCGAAACUUAGCAUCAAAAUCAUAACUUGUAUAACCAUUUCUCUAUAACUAAUAGGCUCAUGAUUGCCAUAGUGAUAAGUUGUUUCAAUCUCCAACCGAGUUCACUCAAAUGAUCUCAUCCACUUGAAAGUUCUUGUAAAAUUUGCUAACUAGACUUUUUAACAGACUCGUUAGUAAUGCAGCUCGAGAGGAAGUUCCAUAUUUCAAUCAAGUCACGAGUCAAAAUAAUUGAAUAUGAUGUUUUCUCUAUGAAAGAGAUUUUGUAUUAGCUUCCACGAUCAAUUUAAUGUCUUUUCCUAGCACUAUUAAGUUUGAUAUGAAAGUCAAACUAAACCAUAUCUUUAGACCUGGUAUAAUAACCCCCAUGUAAGUUGUAACGCAGUAUUUUAUUGCAUGUAGAUUGGUUGUUUCUCUUGCUUUAGCAGCCCCGAUGUGUUUUCUUGUAUAUCCUUGUGCUCCCAGUAUUGGGAUGUCAUUUUGGACUUGUUUUUGAUUGCAUAUGGUGGAUGCAUAGUGAUUGAAAAGGUCAAUGAACAAAACAGUCCAGCUUUGGGAGGAAGAUUGCUUUUCUUGAUCAUUCUUCCAUUCUGUAUUGCUGAGUUCUAACUUAAGUUUCUGGAUAGUUAUUUAGUUGUUGGAAGAUAAUGUUAGUGACUCAUAAACGAGGAUAUUUGAUUCUCUUUUAGUCUGGAAUGACUCCCCUGUUCUAAUGUAAAUGUGGUGGAUUCUGCAUUCAGGCUGUCACCUUUUGUGAUGAAAACCAUAACUUAUGAUCUGUGAAACUUAAGAGCAGUCCUUCAACUGA